rnacentral:misc_RNA from 1 species
GAAUUUUGUCAUUAACUUCAUUCACCAAUGAAAUCAUAACCUCCUCUUGCCCCCUGGUUAUAUCUGUAACAACACACGAACCUGUUUCAUCUUGAGUUGAUUCACACAGAGGUACUGGACUUUGAAAAGUAACAUGGUCAAGAAUAUUCUGAUCAAUCUCUGGAGCACUACCACAGUUCUCCACAGAUGCUAUUUGAUCAGUUGAGGCGCUGUUGUUGUGACUAUUACAAGGAUGGAGCUGUGGUUUCUCGGGUUGAGCCUCCCCUGCAUCAAGUUCUAAAUUUUUAGAUCCGCACAGAGCCACUGGACUCUCAGACAUAAGAUGUUCAAGUAUAUUCUGAUCGAUCUCUGGAACACUGCCACAAUUCCUCACUGACGUUGUUUGAUCAGUUUGGGCGCUAUUGGUGUGACCAUUACAAGGAAGGGGUAGCUGUGAUUUCUCUGGUUGAUCCUCCCCAGAAU